rnacentral:rRNA from 1 species
AGUGAACGCUGGCGGUAGGCCUAACACAUGCAAGUCGAACGGCAGCACAGUAAGAGCUUGCUCUUACGGGUGGCGAGUGGCGGACGGGUGAGGAAUACAUCGGAAUCUACUUUUUCGUGGGGGAUAACGUAGGGAAACUUACGCUAAUACCGCAUACGACCUACGGGUGAAAGCAGGGGAUCUUCGGACCUUGCGCGAUUGAAUGAGCCGAUGUCGGAUUAGCUAGUUGGCGGGGUAAAGGCCCACCAAGGCGACGAUCCGUAGCUGGUCUGAGAGGAUGAACAGCCCCACUGGAACUUAGACACGGUCCAGACUCCUACGGGAGGCAGCAGUGGGGAAUAUUGGCCAAUGGGCGCAAGCCUGAUCCAGCCAUACCGCGUGGGUGAAGAAGGCCUUCGGGUUGUAAAGCCCUUUUGUUGGGAAAGAAAAGCAGCAGGUUAAUACCCCGCUGUUCUGACGGUACCCAAAGAAUAAGCACCGGCUAACUUCGUG